AUUGAACGCUAGCGGGAUGCCUUACACAUGCAAGUCGAACGGCAGCACGGACUUCGGUCUGGUGGCGAGUGGCGAACGGGUGAGUAAUGUAUCGGAACGUGCCCAGUAGCGGGGGAUAACUACUCGAAAGAGUAGCUAAUACCGCAUACGCCCUACGGGGGAAAGGGGGGGAUCGCAAGACCUCUCACUAUUGGAGCGGCCGAUAUCGGAUUAGCUAGUUGGUGGGGUAAAGGCCCACCAAGGCGACGAUCCGUAGCUGGGUUGAGAGGACGACCAGCCACACUGGGACUGAGACACGGCCCAGACUCCUACGGGAGGCAGCAGUGGGGAAUUUUGGACAAUGGGGGCAACCCUGGUCCAGCCAUCCCGCGUGUGCGAUGAAGGGCUUCGGGUUGUAAAGCACUUUUGGCAGGAAAGAAAUCGCACGGGCUAAUACCUCGUGUGGAUGACGGUACCUGCAGAAUAAGCACCGGCUAACUACGUGCCAGCAGCCGCCGCCG
rnacentral:rRNA from 1 species